rnacentral:rRNA from 1 species
CCGGGAACCCUCGGGGUGGUGGCAGACGGGUGAGUAACGCGUGGGAACCUUCCCUGUGGUGCGGAAUAGCUCCGGGAAACUGGAAUUAAUACCGCAUACGCCCUUCGGGGGAAAGAUUUAUCGCCAUAGGAUGGGCCCGCGUUGGAUUAGCUAGUUGGUGAGGUAAUGGCUCACCAAGGCUGCGAUCCAUAGCUGGUCUUAGAGGAUGAUCAGCCACACUGGGACUGAGACACGGCCCAGACUCCUACGGGAGGCAGCAGUGGGGAAUAUUGGACAAUGGGCGCAAGCCUGAUCCAGCCAUGCCGCGUGAGUGACGAAGGCCUUAGGGUUGUAAAACUCUUUUGGCGGGGACGAUAAUGACGGUACCCGCAGAAUAAGCCCCGGCUAACUUCGUGCCAGCAGCCGCGGUAAUACGAAGGGGGCUAGCGUUGUUCGGAAUCACUGGGCGUAAAGCGCACGUAGGCGGACUGGUCAGUUGGGGGUGAAAUCCCGGGGCUUAACCUCGGAACUGCCUUCAAUACUGCCAGUCUUGAGUCCGAGAGAGGUGAGUGGAAUUCCUAGUGUAGAGGUGAAAUCCGUAGAUAUUAGGAAGAACACCAGUGGCGAAGGCGGCUCACUGGCUCGGUACUGACGCUGAGGUGCGAAAAGC